ensembl:ncRNA Y65B4BM.2 ncRNA
CCACAUUUCUCAGUGAUAUUCAUCUGAACCGCCCGACAUACAUCAGUUCCUCAUAGUACCUAACAGGGUUCA